rnacentral:rRNA from 1 species
UGGGGGAAUAUUGGGCAAUGGGGGGAAACCCUGACCCAGCAACGCCGCGUGAAGGAAGAAGGCCUUCGGGUUGUAAACUUCUUUUACCAGGGACGAAGGACGUGACGGUACCUGGAGAAAAAGCAACGGCUAACUACGUGCCAGCAGCCGCGGUAAUACGUAGGUUGCAAGCGUUGUUCGGAAUUAUUGGGCGUAAAGGGCAUGUAGGCGGUAUUGCAAGCCUGGUGUGAAAGGCAGGGGCUCAACCUCUGGACUGCGCUGGGAACUGCGAUACUAGAGUCGCUGAGGGGCAAUCAGAAUUCCAGGUGUAGGGGUGAAAUCUGUAGAUAUCUGGAAGAAUACCAAUGGCGAAGGCAGGUUGCCAGCAGAUGACUGACGCUGAGGUGCGAAGGUGCGGGGAGCAAACAGGAUUAGAUACCCUGGUAGU